UGGUGGAGUGAUUUGUCUGGUUAAUUCCGUUAACGAACGAGACCGCAGCCUGCUAAAUAAUCACAGUAACGAUUUUCAUUGCUGAUGGUUUCUUAGAGGGACAUGUAGUAUAAAACUACAGGAAGAUUGCGGCAAUAACA
rnacentral:rRNA from 1 species